rnacentral:rRNA from 1 species
UACAGAGGUGCCAAGCGUUGUUCGGAUUUAUUGGGCGUAAAGGGUGCGUAGGCGGUUGUGCAAGUCGGAUGUGAAAUCCCGGAGCCUAACUCCGGAAUGGCAUUCGAAACUGCACGGCUCGAGGUCUGGAGAGGUGACUGGAAUUCUCGGUGUAGCAGUGAAAUGCGUAGAUAUCGAGAGGAACACCAGAGGCGAAAGCGAGUCACUGGACAGAACCUGACGCUGAGGCACGAAAGCUAGGGGAGCAAACGGG